CGCUCAAAAAAGGCUUUAAAUAGGCUUUGGGCCUUGCCUUUUUUGGCGAGUCUAAU
rfam:Carboxydothermus hydrogenoformans Z-2901, complete genome.